CCUACGGGGGGCUGCAGUGGGGAAUAUUGGACAAUGGGGGGAACCCUGAUCCAGCCAUGCCGCGUGUGUGAAGAAGGCCCUCGGAUUGUAAAGCACUUUCAGUGAGGAAGAACGCCUGGUGGUUAAUACCCAUCAGGAAAGACAUCACUCACAGAAGAAGCACCGGCUAACUCCGUGCCAGCAGCCGCGGUAAUACGGAGGGUGCGAGCGUUAAUCGGAAUUACUGGGCGUAAAGCGCGCGUAGGUGGCUUGAUAAGCCGGUUGUGAAAGCCCCGGGCUCAACCUGGGAACGGCAUCCGGAACUGUCAAGCUAGAGUGCAGGAGAGGAAGGUAGAAUUCCCGGUGUAGCGGUGAAAUGCGUAGAGAUCGGGAGGAAUACCAGUGGCGAAGGCGGCCUUCUGGACUGACACUGACACUGAGGUGCGAAAGCGUGGGUAGCAAACAGGAUUAGAUACCCGAGUAGUC
rnacentral:rRNA from 1 species